rnacentral:misc_RNA from 1 species
CCAAACUUGGUCAUUUAGAGGAAGUAAAAGUCGUAACAAGGUUUCCGUAGGUAUGUAUCAAUCGAACGCUGUUCCUUCUUCUCCGGGCCUCUGCUAACGUGAAAUUUUCUAGGUGAACCUGCGGAAGGAUCAUUACCAAUUCUCAGCGGGCCUGGACUCGUCCGUGGUCUCGCGAAACUCUGUAUUUAAAACCUGCUCGUAACAUGAUCAAAAAACUUUUGUAUCAGUGAGUUAAAAAAAAAGAUCACUUUCAACAACGGAUCUCUUGGCUCUCGCAUCGAUGAAGAACGCAGC